rnacentral:misc_RNA from 1 species
AUAGAACUCCCACAUGGUAUAAAAGUCCUGAGUAGAGGGAUCCGUGUUAGUAGAGAGAAAUUAUUGUAAAAACCAAUGCCGACCCAACAAUCAUUUGCUACAGGUUCCGCCUGUCCGGAUUUGGAGGGAGGGACUCUCCGAGUAUACAGCAUGAGGUUCUGUCCGUAUGCUCAACGAGCCCUGCUGGUCCUGACACACAAAAAUAUACCACAUGAAGUGGUCAACAUCAAUCUGAAAAAUAAACCGGAAUGGUUUCUGCAGAAGAACCCACUGGGGCGGGUUCCCACCUUAGAGAAAGAUGACAGAAUCGUGUACGAGUCCGCUAUCUGCUGUGACUAUUUGGACCAGGUGUAUCCCGAUAACAAGCUGACCCCAGAUGACCCUUACCGUCAGGCCCGGGACAAGAUGACCGUGGAAGUCUUCUCUCAGUUUGUUUCGGAUUUUCAAAAAAUGAUGAGUUCACCACCGCAAGAGAAACCCGAGAGUUUACAAAAGAUCAAAAACAACCUAUCCGAGUUAGAGAGCAGCCUAACAGCAAGGCAAGGCGCCUACUUUGGAGGUAACCUUCUUUUUUAGUCAGCAAUAUGUCUGCUACAAACACUGUCAAAAAAUGUAACUCUAAUCUUUUAACUUCAACCUUUUAGAUCUUGGAAUCUUGGAAUUUAAAUUUAAUUUUUCUUGAAUUUUCAGCUUUAAUCUUCGAAUUUCUAAAUUAAAAGUUAAUGCUCCCAACUUAAAAGUUAGAAUUUCAAACUUCUUUCUUUGAAUAUCAAACUUUAAUAUUCUUAUAAUACAUCUAUUAAGAUAACUUUCUCAAUUUCAGACGGAUUUUUUUAAAUGAAUUAGCUUUAUUAACUUCAUGUAGAAAAUGGCACAAUCAAAAUACACUAGUAUACCAAGUUAUUUGUUUCGAAUGUUUAACCUAAGCUGGAAAUUCGAGCUUUAAAGCUGGAAUAACCAUUAAGAGUUGGAAUUUCCAAGAUUAAAUUUUGAUUUUCCAAAAUUGAAGUUGAAAAUUCCAACUUUAAAGUUGAAGAAAUUAACUUUAAAGUUGAGAAUGUGGCAAUAAUACGCUGUCGUAAAAUUCUGGACUAGUUUUCUGUUUUCUUUGAACUAUUUUUACAUGACCUUGUACUUUGGGUAUAGCUGUGUCAAACUUCAAUGUGACGUAGGCCUGUCCAUAUCAUUGCUGAACCUUCAGACAUAGCUCUUUGAAAUCAACAAGAUUUGUUCGGCUUUUCAGCUAAGAUUGUGCAAUUUGUGCAUAUUUCGUUCGAAUCAUGUGUCAGUUUUAACUUGUUUUGAAGCAAUAAAUAGAUAUAUACAUGUAGUUACGUCUUAUCGAAAGUCCAAGGUCUUGUUAAAAUAGUUUUAACGAUGUUUUUGAAGGGAACGCAGUGCAGAUGCUAGACUUCCUGCUGUGGCCAUGGUUUGAACGUAUUCUCAUCUUCGCAAAAGUUGUUCCGCUGACAUUCUCUUUAGAGGACUAUCCAGCUUUGUGUGAAUGGACAAAGAAAAUGCCGGAAUGUCCGGCCGUCCAAAAAUGUCGACUGGACCCUCAGCAGUUUUUGGAAUUUUACAAAAGUACAAAAGCUGGCGCACCUGAUUAUGACGUAGGUCUGGGCAAAGAUUCCUAAAACUUCACAGUCAUAAACGAAGAGAAAGUGAACAACUUGGUACUAACAUGUAUAUACAUUUUUAUGUUCUGUAACACAAUAUUUGGUUUUACAAUUUCUGUUUCAAAAUUAUUAUUCAAUGUUGAAAACAUGAAAAACUAUGAAUGUAUCAGCAAAUUAAAAUCUAUUUUCUUC